rnacentral:pre_miRNA from 1 species
GGGGGGAGGCCAGAUCCUGGGCUGUGUCCCGGCGCCCUGUACCCCGGGGCCUGCGCUGUUGGAUUCGCGCUCCCGGGCCGCGCAACCCCCU